rnacentral:rRNA from 1 species
AUUGAACGCUGGCGGCAGGCCUAACACAUGCAAGUCGAACGAGUGGCGGACGGGUGAGUAAUGUCUGGGAAACUGCCCGAUGGAGGGGGAUAACUACUGGAAACGGUAGCUAAUACCGCAUACCAUCGGAUGUGCCCAGAGGGGAUUAGCUAGUAGGUGGGGUAACGGCUCACCUAGGCGACGAUCCCUAGCGGGUCGGAGAGCAUGACCAGACACACUGGAACUUAGACACGGUCAAUACUCCAACGGGAGGCAGCAGUGGGUGAUAUUGCACAAGGGGCGCAAGCCUGAUGAAGCGAUGCCGCGUGUAUGAAGAAGGCCUUCGGGUUGUAAAGUACUUUCAGCGAGGAGGCGUUACUCGCAGAAGAAGCACCGGCUAACUCCGUGCCAGGAGCCGCGGUAAUUC